GACGUAGGGGCGAGCGUUGUCCGGAUUUACUGGGCGUAAAGCGCGCGCAGGCGGCCCGUUAGUCGGAUGUGAAAACCUGGGGCUCAACCCCAGGCCUGCACCCGAUACUGGCGGGCUCGAGGCAGGUAGGGGAGAGUGGAAUUCCCGGUGUAGCGGUGAAAUGCGCAGAUAUCGGGAGGAACACCGGUGGCGAAGGCGGCUCUCUGGGCCUGUCCUGACGCUCAUGCGCGAAAGCUAGGGGAGCAAACAGG
rnacentral:rRNA from 1 species